GUGAGCGUGGCCGACUGGUGAGGUACCGGCCUUUUAAGCCGGGCUAGGUGGGUUCGAUUCCGCACCGCUCACA
rnacentral:tRNA from 2 species